rnacentral:rRNA from 1 species
UCGAGAAUCUUCCGCAAUGGGCGCAAGCCUGACGGAGCGAUGCCGCGUGAGGGAUGAAGGCCUUCGGGUUGUAAACCUCUGUCAGAGGGAACGAAGAAUGUGACGGUACCCUCAGAGGAAGCCACGGCUAACUACGUGCCAGCAGCCGCGGUAAUACGUAGGUGGCGAGCGUUAUUCGGAUUCACUGGGCGUAAAGGGUCCGUAGGGGGGCUGGCAAGUCUGGUGUGAAAGCCCGCGGCUCAACUGCGGAACGGCACUGGAUACUGGCGGGCUACGAGUCGGCGAGGGGUAAGCGGAAGUCCUGGUGUAGCGGUGGAAUGCGUAGAUAUCAGGAAGAACACCGAUGGCGAAGGCGGCUUACUGGCGCAGUACUGACCCUGAGGGACGAAAGCGUGGGUAGCAAACA